UAUGCUUUGUCGGUGCAAAUGUCGCAUUUAACAGCUGAUGCCAAUUCAACUUAAAAGUGGACGUCAUGUGGAAACGCAAAGCCGGGUGCGCAGCAAAAGAAACGCGACACAAGGACAACAACAGAGCGGAUGAGCAGCUUGAGAAACGAACGAACCCUGGGAGCGGGGAAGCGCGGUGGUGGCGGGGCCCUGACUCGGUGCAGUAGCUGCCCCCCAUCGUGACACGGCUACGGUGACACUGCAGCUUUUUCAACCAAGUGACGGUUGACGAGCUAUGGAAAAGGAGACGUGGCGAAUUCGGCGGCGACUAUGCGCAAGGGCCGGAAAGAGCGCCAAGAGCAGGUUCAAGAAAAACCUCAACUUUGUACGAACCAUCAUCAGAAGGAAGCCAAACGAAAUUCGGAGGUCGAACUGGCAAUCGCAACUUGAAAGAACCUGUACGGCUGAGACGCGUAUGGCCAGCGUGCAUGACGCUUGCCCAGACAAAGGUUUUACCACCACCUCCUCCUCACCACCUUCCACUCAAGCCAUCAACUCUCCUUACUGCAGAAAAGUAAUCUCCAGAAUCCAUCCAGCGGUCUGUCGAUGGGAGCGGUGGUUGGCAACCAGAGCAGCAACCGCGAUGCAGGAAGUGGAGCAGAGCAAGACCGUGGUGGAGUGAAAGGGGAGAAGUUCGGUACCGUUGGUGACACUCAUCACAUGCAAACAAACACACCCAUUUGCAAUUCUGCCUGUCAGCGAAGGCGGAGAGAUGGCACUCGCGUGGAGAUUGUUCAAGUUCUGCACCAACUGCUAGAAAUGGCUUUUGUUGUUUUGCAUGAAUGUGUGUGGAUGCACGCGCACACAGGGCAGCCUGAAAGGAUGGGCCCUUUUAGUCUGUGCCAAAGCUAGUGUUUGUUUUGAAGCCCCUGUUGCAGUGUGGAUUUUGUUUGCCAAGGUCCACUAAGGUACAUGGCUUUUUUUCAGAUGUGACCUGGCCACAAAUGAUAGCUCAAUAAAGUGGGUUAUGUGGAAAUGUAUAACAGCCAAAUACAUCUUCUUGGUUCUUUCGGUAAAGUCACGUAGAAUGGAAAUAAUAAAAUAAUAAAAAUAAAACAUAAUAAAAUAAUUCUCACGACGUUUCGGCCACAACGCAAGCAGCCGUCCUCAGGUGGAGAACAGAUCUGUCGAGACAGACCUGUUUAUUUUAUUAUUUUUAUUUUUAUUAUUUUAUUAGUUCCAUUCUACGUGACUUUAUCGAAAGAACCAAAACGAUGAAUCCCUGCAGUCACGAAAGCUUUAAAUCGAAAGCCAAAUACAUGUCUUAUCUAGGAUUUCAUAUAGCGCU